GCUUAUCUAAUUUUUUGGCUUGGUCGGCGAUAAAAUUGAUGAGAGGAAAUUAAGAUUUCAAGAUUUUGAUUUAUUCUUGAUUGCAAAAUUGCUGAAUAGGUUCUUGUUUGUUUGGGAAAAAUCCAAGGAUGAAAAUCUCAAUUUGUUUAUUGAAAGAGAUGGAAUGAGAAGAAUUGACUGAUUAAAAUUGAAUCAAAAUUAUUUUGAUAUAAUCCAAUUUAGUUAAGCCUCUUUAGUUCGAUUCGAAACCAAACUAUCAUAUUGCACACCUCUAUUUUUGUAAAAAAGUAAACAAAGGAAUCUCUUUGAUGUAUUUUAACCUCAAACAAAAAAAUGCGAAGAAAGGGAAAAUUCCUUUCCUUUUAGCUUCUACCAUUAGAAAAAUUACAAUAUUUCUCAAUCAACCUCGCCUAGCCU
rnacentral:misc_RNA from 1 species